rnacentral:misc_RNA from 1 species
UGCCACGCUGAGAUUGUGAAUUCCCUUGUUUCUUUACCUGAAAAGGUUUCUGGGUCGUUUUGUUUUUGAUUUUGUGGGUUUGUUUGUUAAGUGUUUGUGGGUAAGAAAUGAGAUUGUUCAUUUUCCCCUGAACCGAAAGAUGGUGAUAUCAUAAAUUUUGGGGAGGGAAUUUUGACCAAAUUGAUCCUUUUUAAUUGAUUUGAUUCCAAGUCAACUGAGAGUGUUUCUUGUUUUUUCCUCAUUGCAUGUACGAGUCACUUGAGUUGUUCCAUUUUCAGAUAAAUUUCAGUGAGCUUUUGUAUCUAUAUAUUGAGAAGAUAAUUUUGGAUGGGG